rnacentral:rRNA from 1 species
UAGGGAAUAUUGCACAAUGGGGAAGACCCUGAUGCAGCGACGCCGCGUGAAGGAAGAAGUAUCUCGGUAUGUAAACUUCUAUCAGCAGGGAAGACAAUGACGGUACCUGACUAAGAAGCCCCGGCUAACUACGUGCCAGCAGCCGCGGUAAUACGUAGGGGCAAGCGUUAUCCGGAUUUACUGGGUGUAAAGGGAGCGUAGACGGAUCUGCAAGUCUGGAGUGAAAGCCCGGGCUCAACCCGGCAGCUGCUUUGGAAAUCUGUGGAUCUAGAGUGCCGGAGAGGUAAGCGGAAUUCCUAGUGUAGCGGUGAAAUGCGUAGAUAUUAGGAGGAACACCAGUGGCGAAGGCGGCUUACUGGACGGUAACUGACGUCGAGGCUCGAAAGCGUGGGGAGCAAACAGGAUUAGAUACCC